rnacentral:rRNA from 1 species
GACGAACCGUGCGAACGUUGUUCGGAAUCACUGGGCUUAAAGGGCGCGUAGGCGGUCGAUCAAGUCUGGGGUGAAAUCUUUCGGCUUAACCGGAAAAGUGCCUUGGAUACUGAUCGGCUCGAGGGAGGUAGGGGCAGCUGGAACUUCCGGUGGAGCGGUGAAAUGCGUUGAUAUCGGAAGGAACGCCGGUGGCGAAAGCGAGCUGCUGGACCUUUUCUGACGCUGAGGCGCGAAAGCUAGGGGAGCAAACGGG